rnacentral:rRNA from 1 species
UGGGGAAUAUUGCGCAAUGGCCGAAAGGCUGACGCAGCGACGCCGCGUGGGGGAUGAAGCAUUUCGGUGUGUAAACCCCUGUUGCUCGGGACGAACAACUGGAUUUGUCCAGUCUGACGGUACCGGGUGAGGAAGCACCGGCUAACUCCGUGCCAGCAGCCGCGGUAAUACGGAGGGUGCGAGCGUUGUCCGGAAUCACUGGGCGUAAAGGGCGCGUAGGCGGUCUGCUAAGCGUGUGGUGAAAGCUCGGGGCUCAACCCCGAGUCUGCCAUGCGAACUGGUGGACUUGAGCACUGUAGAGGCAGGUGGAAUUCCGGGUGUAGCGGUGGAAUGCGUAGAGAUCCGGAAGAACACCGGUGGCGAAGGCGGCCUGCUGGGCAGUAGCUGACGCUGAUGCGCGACAGCGUGGGGAGCAAACA